GAUGAACGCUGGCGGCGUGCCUAAUACAUGCAAGUCGAGCGAACAGAUGAGGAGCUUGCUCCUCUGACGUUAGCGGCGGACGGGUGAGUAACACGUGGAUAACCUACCUAUAAGACUGGGAUAACUUCGGGAAACCGGAGCUAAUACCGGAUAAUAUAUUGAACCGCAUGGUUCAAUAGUGAAAGACGGUUUUGCUGUCACUUAUAGAUGGAUCCGCGCCGCAUUAGGUAGUUGGUAAGGUAACGGCUUACCAAGGCAACGAUGCGUAGCCGACCGGAGAGGGUGAUCGGCCACACUGGAACUGAGACACGGUCCAGACUCCUACGGGAGGCAGCAGUCGGGAAUCUUCCGCAAUGGGCGAAAGCCUGACGGAGCAACGCCGCGUGAGUGAUGAAGGUCUUCGGAUCGUAAAACUCUGUUAUUAGGGAAGAACAAAUGUGUAAGUAACUAUGCACGUCUUGACGGUACCUAAUCAGAAAGCCACGGCUAACUACGUG
rnacentral:rRNA from 1 species